CGGCAUGUAGCCUAGCGGUUAAGAGCUUUGGGCCAGUAACCGAAAGGUUGCUGGUUCAAAUCCCCAAGCCGA
rnacentral:tRNA from 1 species